rnacentral:rRNA from 1 species
CAGCAGCCGCGGGAAUACGUAGGGUGCGAGCGUUAAUCGGAAUCACUGGGCGUAAAGCGGGCGCAGACGGUUACUUAAGCAGGAUGUGAAAUCCCCGGGCUCAACCUGGGAACUGCGUUCUGAACUGGGUGACUAGAGUGUGUCAGAGGGAGGUAGAAUUCCACGUGUAGCAGUGAAAUGCGUAGAGAUGUGGAGGAAUACCGAUGGCGAAGGCAGCCUCCUGGGAUAACACUGACGUUCAUGCCCGAAAGCGUGGGUAGCAAACAGGAUUAGAUACCCGAGUAGUCCCUGUCUCUUAUAA